CCUACGGGGGGCAGCAGUGGGGAAUAUUGCACAAUGGGGGGAACCCUGAUGCAGCGACGCCGCGUGAGUGAAGAAGUAUUUCGGUAUGUAAAGCUCUAUCAGCAGGGAAGAAAAUGACGGUACCUGACUAAGAAGCCACGGCUAACUACGUGCCAGCAGCCGCGGUAAUACGUAGGGGGCAAGCGUUAUCCGGAUUUACUGGGUGUAAAGGGAGCGCAGACGGCUGUGCAAGUCUGGAGUGAAAGGCGGGGGCCCAACCCCCGGACUGCUGUGGAAACUGUAAAGCUUGAGUGCAGGAGAGGUAAGCGGAAUUCCUAGGGUAGCGGUGAAAUGCGUAGAUAUUAGGAGGAACACCAGUGGCGAAGGCGGCUUACUGGACUGCAACUGACGUUGAGGCUCGAAAGCGUGGGGAGCAAACAGGAUUAGAUACCCGUGUAGUC
rnacentral:rRNA from 1 species